CCCUUAGAUGUUCUGGGCCGCACACGCGCUACACUGAAGGAGGCAGCGUGUACUCCUGGAUCGAAAGAUUUGGGUAACCCGCGAAUCUCCUUCGUGCUAGGGAUUGAGGUUUGCAAUUAUCCUUCAUGAACGAGGAAUUCCCCGUAAGUGCAAGUCAUAAGCUUGCGCUGACUACGUCCCUGCCCUUUGUACACACCGCCCGUCGCUACUACCGAUUGAAUGAUUUAGUGAGGACUUCGGACUGGGACCGAUGCGGCUUUCGGGCUGCGUCGGUAUUCUGGAAAGAUGUCCAAACUGUAUCAUUUAGAGGAAGUAAAAGUCGUAACA
rnacentral:rRNA from 1 species